rnacentral:lncRNA from 1 species
UUAGAUAUUUUCAACCCUUAACUUUUAAUUUUUGUCUAGGAGAGUCCCUUCAUCUCCUCCCACUUCUUAAAUUUCAAAAUAUCUCCCUCUUUUCAAAAACCAUAUUUGUCAGUGUUUUUCAACUUAUACUUGUUUUAAUGAGUAGACACUUUGGCCUUAUGCCAUUGAAUUUUCAAACAUUUCCCUAGAUCAAACUUGUAAAUAAACUUAACGAUAUUGACUUCAAUUUCAAAAAAAAAGACAAAAAAG